rnacentral:rRNA from 1 species
UUCUGGCUCAGAACGAACGCUGGCGGCAUGGAUUAGGCAUGCAAGUCGAACGAAGCAGCAAUGCUUAGUGGCGCAAGGGUGAGGAACACGUGAGUGACCUACCCGCAAGUUUGGAACAGCUCCUGGAAACGGGAAUUAAUACCGGAUGUGAUCAUGAAGCUGCAUGGUUUCAUGAUUAAAGCAGCAAUGCGCUUGCGGAUGGGCUCGCGUCCCAUUAGCUAGUUGGUGAGGUAACGGCCCACCAAGGCCAUGAUGGGUAGCUGGUCUGAGAGGACGACCAGCCACACUGGGACUGAGAACUGCCCAGACUCCUACGGGAGGCUGCAGUCGAGAAUUUUGGGCAAUGGACGAAAGUCUGACCCAGCAAUGCCGCGUGCGGGAUGAAGGUCUUCGGAUUGUAAACCGCUGUUUGGAGGGACGAAAAUUGACGGUACUUCCAGAGGAAGCCACGGCUAACUACGUGCCAGCCGCCGC